UCACAUCACCAGGCGGAGGGUCCACCA
rnacentral:sRNA from 1 species